rnacentral:rRNA from 1 species
UACGGGGGGAGCGAGUGUUAUUCACAAUGACUGGGCGUAAAGGGUAAGUAGGUUGUUGUUAAAGUUUAAAAUAAAAGAUUAAAGAGAACCUUUAAUACUUUUUUUAUACUAAAUGACUGGGGUGCAUUGGAAGUUAGCGGUACUCUUAAAGUAGGGGUAAAAUCUUGUGAGAUUAAUGAGGACCACCAAUAUGCGAAGGCGGCUAACUAGGAUGCAACUGACACUGAGGUACUAAAGCGUGGGUAAUGAACAGG